UGAACGGGUGAGUAACGCGUGAGGAGCCUGCCUCAAAGAGGGGGACAACAGUUGGAAACGACUGCUAAUACCGCAUAAGCCCACGGGUCGGCAUCGACCUGAGGGAAAAGGAGCAAUCCGCUUUGAGAUGGCCUCGCGUCCGAUUAGCUAGUUGGUGAGGUAACGGCCCACCAAGGCGACGAUCGGUAGCCGGACUGAGAGGUUGAACGGCCACAUUGGGACUGAGACACGGCCCAG
rnacentral:rRNA from 1 species